UACGAAGGGGGCUAGCGUUGUUCGGAAUCACUGGGCGUAAAGGGCGCGUAGGCGGCCGAUCAAGUCGGGGGUGAAAGCCUGUGGCUCAACCACAGAAUUGCCUUCGAUACUGUUUGGCUUGAGACCGGAAGAGGUGAGUGGAACUGCGAGUGUAGAGGUGAAAUUCGUAGAUAUUCGCAAGAACACCAGUGGCGAAGGCGGCUCACUGGCCCGAUACUGACGCUGAGGCACGAAAGCGUGGGGAGCAAACAGG
rnacentral:rRNA from 1 species